GGGAGGCUUUGAAGCUGGAACGCUAGUUCCAGUGGAGCCGUCCUUGAAAUACCACCCUGGUAAUGUUGAGGUUCUAACUCUGUCCCGUGAUCCGGGACGAGGACCGUGUCUGGUGGGUAGUUUGACUGGGGCGGUCUCCUCCUAAAGWGUAACGGAGGAGUACGAAGGUGCGCUCAGCGUGGUCGGAAAUCACGCGUAGAGUAUAAAGGCAAAAGCGCGCUUAACUGCGAGACCCACAAGUCGAGCAGGUACGAAAGUAGGUCUUAGUGAUCCGGUGGUUCUGUAUGGAAGGGCCAUCGCUCAACGGAUAAAAGGUACUCUGGGGAUAACAGGCUGAUACCGCCCAAGAGUUCAUAUCGACGGCGGUGUUUGGCACCUCGAUGUCGGCUCAUCUCAUCCUGGGGCUGAAGCAGGUCCCAAGGGUAUGGCUGUUCGCCAUUUAAAGAGGUACGCGAGCUGGGUUUAGAACGUCGUGAGACAGUUCGGUCCCUAUCUACCGUGGGCGCUGGAAAUUUGAGAGGAUCUGCUCCUAGUACGAGAGGACCAGAGUGGACGAACCUCUGGUGUACCGGUUGUGACGCCAGUCGCAUCGCCGGGUAGCUAUGUUCGGAAGGGAUAACCGCUGAAAGCAUCUAAGCGGGAAGCCUACCUCAAGAUAAGAUUUCCCUAGGACUUUAUGUCCUCUAAAGAGCCGUUCGAGACUAGGACGUUGAUAGGUUGGAUGUGGAAGCAUAGUGAUAUGUGAAGCUGACCAAUACUAAUUGCUCGUGAGGCUUGACUAUACAACACCCAAGCAGUUG
rnacentral:rRNA from 1 species